GACGAACGCUGGCGGCGUGCUUAACACAUGCAAGUCGAGCGGUAAGGCCCUUUCGGGGGUACACGAGCGGCGAACGGGUGAGCAACACGUGGGUGACCUGCCCUCAGCUCUGGGAUAAGCCUGGGAAACCGGGUCUAAUACCGGAUAUGACUCCAUGACGCAUGUUGUGGGGUGGAAAGCCUUGUGCGGCUGAGGAUGGGCCCGCGGCCUAUCAGCUUGUUGGUGGGGUGANGGCCUACCAAGGCGACGACGGGUAGCCGGCCUGAGAGGGCGACCGGCCACACUGGGACUGAGACACGGCCCAGACUCCUACGGGAGGCAGCAGUGGGGAAUCUUGCGCAAUGGGCGAAAGCCUGACGCAGCGACGCCGCGUGAGGGAUGACGGCCU
rnacentral:rRNA from 1 species